rnacentral:lncRNA from 1 species
CUGUCAUGGAGUUUGGCAUUUAUUGCAGAACUGAACGCCAUUCGUAAUAAUCCCCCAACAGAGCAUCGAGUGUCAACAUCUAAGGACACCUUUCAAAGGGUCACUUUGGCAUCCCGAUGAAGCAGAUUUCAAAGUCACCCUCUACCUGGCUCUGAAUUCUUUCCAAGAAGUGGUGAACUGAAAUCUCAAAAGAGUUUUUACAGGACCAGUUUCUGUGCACAAAAAAGUCAGAUGUUUUUACAAUGAUUGCAACCAAUUUCCUACAGACAUCUUUGGUCCAUCCUGAGGCAAGCUCCCUCUAUCCUGACUGCCCACUCUGCUGUUAUACCAUUGGCCAGGGGACCAAGAUCACUGUUGGACUAUGACUACAGCCCCAGGAAGUAUGGCUGAUAGCCAGGGAUGAUGGGAGUUGUAGUCCAACAACAAGAGUAGGGUACCAUGCUAUUAUUAUUAAAUGUUUUCAUAUAUGCUGGAAGCCGCCCAAUAAGAUGGAUGGGGUACAAAUAAAUUAUUAUUAUUAUUAUUAUUAUUAUUAUUAUUAUUAGCUACCACUACUGGCAUCAGUUGCAUGCCUUCCAUAGGCACCCAUUCCCUAGAAACACACCCUGCUUUUAUUAAUUGCUUUCGUGCAUUUUAGUCGCUAUGGCUUUAAAACAAUCUGCUGCUCUGUUGCUUCUACUGCUUUCCAUUAUGAAAUAUAUUUAUUUUUUCGUUAAGCCCUCCGGAGACUUUUGCAAAAGUUGGGCAGUAAAUCCCUAACAGCGCCCUCCUACGCACGUUUAUUCGGAAGUUAAGUCCCUGCUGUGUUCAGUGGGCUCACUCCCAGAUAAGUGUGAGUGGGAUUGCCGCCUCAAAUGAAUAAAUAAUAGAAUUGCAGAGUUGGGAGGGACACCGAGGGUCAUCCAGUCCAACCCCCUGCAAUGCAGGAAUACAAUCAACUCCAAAUGAAGCAUGUGGCUAGUGAGCUAUGUUCUCUUUGGGGGUGAGGGUGUCACAAGUUGUGCAGGCCUGAUCUAAACCUAGGCCCCUUCAUGCUUUUUUCUUUUUGCUCUGAGGAGAAUCCCUGUCCGUCCGUGUCCAACACCCUUUCUCAAUCUGACUACUGCAAUGCGCUCUACGUGGGGCUACCUUUGAAGGUGACCCAGAAACUACAACUAAUCCAGAAUGUGGCAGCUAGACUGGUGACUGGGGGCGGCCGCCGAGACCACAUAACACCGGUCUUGAAAGACCUACAUUGGCUCCCAGUACGUUUCUGAGCACAAUUCAAAGUGUUGGUGCUGACCUUGAAAGCCCUAAACGGCCUCAGCCCAGUAUACCUGAAGGAGCAUCUCCACCCCCAACGUUCAGCCCGGACACUGAGGUCCAGCUCCGAGGGCCUUCUGGCGGUUCCCUCACUGCGAGAAGUGAAGUUACAGGGAACCAGGCAGAGGGCCUUUUCGGUAGCGACAUCUGCCUUGGGGAACGCCCUCCCA